CGCUUUCGCUCGUCACCCUUCCAAUCCAACCAUCGUAGCGCUAGGGUUUCAGAUUCCCAACGCUGGCUCCUGAGAGCCAGCGAAACGAAACGGGGAAGAACACCUAGGAACCCCCGAAUCGCCUCCCUCGCGAAACCAACUGUAAAUUUCCGAUCUCAAACGGCGGAGCCAUUAAACCCCUCUUCCCGUAAUGAAUCCGAGCUCCGGCGAUAAUUCCUCUUCCAGCAGGACAGAUUAAAGAAAACCUUUUCGUAAGAACAGAUCUAAUCUCUGAGAACCUCGAAUUACAGAUUUGCACCACUUGGAAGAUGAACCCGGACCUCAGAAAGUUUUGGUCUUUUCUUACAGGAGUGAAGAUCAUAACUGAACUCCUUUUCCUUGGUUGCUGAAAGAUCUAUGACUCCCUUUUUCUCUCUGCUUUUCCUUUCUGAGACCGGACUUUGAAUUUUAAGUGUUUACUGAACGAUCGGACCUAGAUUUGUUGAUCUUGCUGAAGAAAAUUUGGUUUUUGAUCAUCAAAUUCCCAUCUUGAUUCUGUAAAAAUGGUUAAAUCGGCUGUUUACUACGAAAAUUCCUUCCUUGGGGAAGUGGAAAUCAUUCCCCAGAACUCGAACUCUGGUUCAUGGAUGACGGAGAUCCGGAUCUCCCAUCUAUCCCCUCCUGGCGAACGAUGUCCACCUCUUGCUGUUCUACACGCUGUUGCUUCCGGUGGCGUCUGCUUCAAGAUGGAGUCAAAGUCGCCACCGUCCAACGAUUCGCGGUUGCUCUCUUUGCACUCUACUCUCGACACUGAGAAUAAGACUGCUGUUGUUCCAAUAGGUGAAGCAGAGUUGCACCUUGUGGCAAUGGCUUCGAAAAAAAAUCCUACUCCAAUUCCCUGUUUCUGGGGGUUUAUUCUUCCAUCAGGAUUAUAUGAUUCAUCUCUUACAAUGUUGAAUCUAAGGUGCCUUGCUAUAGUGUUUGAUCUGGAUGAAACACUUCUAGUUGCUAAUACAAUGCGCUCAUUUGAGGAUCGAAUUGAUGCACUUCAACGAAAAGUAAACAAUGCAACAGAUCCUCAACGCAUUGCUGGCAUGGUCUUGGAGAUCCAACGAUACCAAGAAGACAAAUCUUUCUUGAAACAAUAUGCCGAAAAUGACCAGGUCAUUGAGAAUGGGAAAUUUUAUAAGGUUCAAGCUGAGAUGGUCCCCCCUUUGUCUGAUAGCCAUCAGUUGAUUGCACGACCAGUAAUAAGGUUACAAGAGAAAAACAUUAUCCUGACACGUGUAAAUCCAUUGAUAAGAGAUACAAGUGUUCUUGUACGAUUGAGGCCUGCUUGGGAAGAUCUUCGAAGUUAUCUAACGGCAAGAGGUCGCAAGCGCUUUGAGGUCUAUGUGUGUACAUUGGCUGAAAGAGAUUAUGCUUUGGAAAUGUGGAGGCUUUUAGAUCCAGAGUCUAACUUGAUCAACUCAUCAAAGCUCCUUGACCGCAUAAUUUGUGUUAAGUCAGGCUCAAGAAAGUCACUGCUUAAUGUCUUCCACGAUGGGGUAUGCCAUCCAAAGAUGGCACUUGUAAUUGAUGAUCGUCUGAAAGUAUGGGAUGAAAAAGAUCAACCACAAGUUCAUGUUGUUCCUGCUUUUUCCCCAUAUUAUGCUCCUCAAGCAGAGACAAAUAUCACCAUCCCAGUUUUAUAUGUUGCAAGAAAUGUUGCUUGCAACGUUAGAGGAGCCUUUUUCAGGGAAUUUGAUGAGAGUAUACUACCACGGAUUGGUGAAAUAUCCUAUGAAGAUGAAAUGAGAGAUUUUCCAGCUGCUUCUGAUGUGGGCAACUUCUUGAUAUCUGAGGAUGAUUGUUCAACAAUGAAUAUAAACAAAGAUCAGCUAGGUUUUGAUGGUACAGCUGAUACUCAGGCCGAGAGGAAAAAGAAGGAAACAAACUGCAGCAUUCAAGUAAUUAAGCCAAUGGCUACUAACUUUGGGCCAAUGCCAGUAUCUUCUCCACAACACGUAAUUCCUACAUUAGGGACCACUUCUUUGGCAGCUAUGCAAAUGAUGGUGCCUUUACCAAAUAAUCAAGUUACUCAGCCUGUUACAGUAGGUAGGUCUGUAAGUGAAUUAACCUUUCCUGAAACUAGCUUCCAAGGCUCUCCCGCUAGAGAAGAGGGUGAAGUUCCUGAAUCAGAAUUAGAUCCAGACACAAGGAGAAGGCUUCUUAUAUUGCAACAUGGUCAGGACACAAGAGAAUCUACUGCUACAUUUCCUGUGAGCCCCCCACUUCAUGUCUCAAUAUCUCCUGCACAUCCACAAGGAAAUUGGUUUCCAUUAGAAGAAGCGAUGAACCCAAGACAGCAGAAAAGAACAUCUAAAGAAUUAAGCAGAGAUCCAGAUCCUGCAAGAUACAGAAAAUGCUCUAGGCAUCCAUCUUUCAUGCAAGGGAGAGAUAACUCUGUUCCUUCAGAUAGAGUUCUUCAUGAAACUAGAAGGUUUACCAUGCAGUUGCACAAUGGAGGCAAAUGUGUUCGCCCAAAUUAUUCAUCAAACUUCAAUUCCUUCCAAGGUGAGAUGCUGGUGGGAGAAAAUAUUUCAAGUCACAAAGCUGCCCAAUUUGAACAAAGACAAGCUACCAUAGAGAGAGCAGAUUCCCCUGCUAGAGUUUUACAAGAAAUAGCAACAAAAUGUGGAAAUAAGAUGGAGUUUCGAACCGCUCUUUCUGAUGCGACAGAACUGCAAUUUUCUAUUGAGAUUUGGUUUGUCGGGGAAAAGUUAGGUGAUGGUGUUGGAAAAACAAGGAAGGAAGCUCUACAACAAGCUGCUGAGAUAUCCCUUAGAUAUCUGGCUGAGAAAUACUUGAAGACUUCUCUCACUGGCCCAAAUAUCACAGGAGAUAUAUGUGUGUUCUCAGAGAACAAGAAACAUGGUCUUGUAAAUGAUUCAUCUUCUUUUGGUUAUCAGUCAUGCCCCAGAAAUGAUGUUUUGCCAGUUGCAAGUACUUCAGAAGAUUCUCGUACAAUGGAUCAAAGAUCACUGGGUUCACAAUGACCAUCUUCUGUCACUUCCCUCACAGAACUUUGUGUUAUGGAGGGUUUUAGCCUUGUUCUUAAUGACGAGUCUCUAGUUUCAAAUGUUGCAGUUAAUAAAGGAGAAGUAUCUACACAGAACUUGCAUACAAGGGCGCCCUGGACUUUUCCUAUGCCUCAAACAAGUAUUCCACAAUCUCUCCAACUCACUUCCUUCAAAUAAGGUAGAAAUAGCAGGUCAGAUAUUGGGACGAGGAGUCUGAACAACUUGGGAUGAAGCUGAGAUCCUGGUUGCUGAGGAAGCCCAUGGAAUGUUGAGGUCCAUGCUUGGUCAAUUCACUCAUAAAUUCUCUAGUUCACCAAGGUCACUAUCUACAAUUCCACAUAAGCGCUUCAGGCAAGGAAUUUCACUGUCAUUUCACCAACUUCCAUCUUGAAGAUAUUCCAGAAAUGAAACUCCUAUCCCAUGACUAAGCUACACCUUUGGUCAUUUCCUAGCCUAUCCACUGCCUAGGAAGCUUAGGCAGAGGCAUAGUGAGCUGACUAAUCGGGGAUGCCAGAAGAGCUGAAUCUUGUCCAUUCUUGACCAACGUAGGUGGAAUAUAUAUAAUUAGGAACCAUGUAUAUACAUCUCAUGCGGAGUGUUGUUUUAGUUUGCAGCCAUCAUGUUUGGGAUCAGUUUACUACUUGAACCAGGGCAACACGUCUUUGUUUUACUAUGCUGUCUCUUUGCCAAAAAAAAAAAAAAAAAAAUUACGGCAGGGGGCCCUUGAGAGAUUUCUCAUUUUCUGCUUUUAGGAUUGUGCUAGUUUUGCCUUCAUAAUCCAGCAUUUCUAAGUUGUCUUCCAGUCUAAGUCUGGUGGCAAGUUCAAUUAGGUAUGGUUUGGAUGAAAUCCUAAAUGUACAUCCAUUGUAUCAUAUGCACUUUCACAGCUCCAAAUGCACUUUUGGAUUAUGAAGAUCUCGCACAGAAUGCUUUAGGAGCAACCUGAUCAAUUGAGACGAGAUGAAGUUUUAGUUGUAUGAGUUGUGAAUUGAGAUGAAAUGAAAUUUGUAGCUGUAAGAGUUGUAUCUGAAUGGCCUAUUGUUGUUGUAAUUGAAUGAAAUUGUUCUCCGUUUACGGUGGGAGUAACAAGCUUAUGUGAAUAGUUAAUUCUUUUCGAAUUCAGCCUUUUAUUUUCUUGUUC